GAAAUGCGAUAAGUAAUGUGAAUUGCAGAAUUCAGUGAAUCAUCGAAUCUUUGAACGCACAUUGCGCCCGCCAGAAUUCUGGCGGGCAUGCCUGUUCGAGCGUCAUUACAACCCUCAGGCCCCCGGGCCUGGCGUUGGGGAUCGGCGGAAGCCCCCUGCGGGCACAACGCCGUCCCCCAAAUACAGUGGCGGUCCCGCCGCAGCUUCCAUUGCGUAGUAGCUAACACCUCGCAACUGGAGAGCGGCGCGGCCACGCCGUAAAACACCCAACUUCUGAAUGUUGACCUCGAAUCAGGUAGGAAUACCCGCUGAACUUAAGC
rnacentral:misc_RNA from 1 species